rnacentral:other from 16 species
ACGGUUAUAAAUCAACAUAUUGAUUUAUAAGCAUGGAAAUCCCCUGAGUGAAACAACGAAUUGCUGUGUGUAGUCUUUGCCCAUCUCCCACGAUGGGCUUUUUUUUUA